UACGAGGGCUCCAAGCGUUAUCCGGAAUUAUUGGGCGUAAAGCGUCUGUAGGCGGUAGGCAUUGUCGUGGGUUAAAUCUCCCGGCUCAACCGGGAACGUGCUCACGAAACGUGCAUACUAGAGGGUGUAAGAGGCAAGUGGAACUCACGGUGUAGGGGUGAAAUCCGUUGAUAUUGUGGGGAACACCAAAGGCGAAGGCAACUUGCUGGUGCACUCCUGACGCUGAGAGACGAAAGCGUGGGGAUCGAAAAGG
rnacentral:misc_RNA from 1 species